CUUCGCUUUAUUGUGCUUCUCAGAUAUUGUGAUUUUUACAAACUGAAGGUUUGUUGCAACCCUGUAUUGAACAAGUCUAUCAGUGCCAUUGUUCCA